rnacentral:misc_RNA from 1 species
GAAACUUUCAUGCUCGAGCAAGAACUAACAUUAAGAAGAGGUUGCACAUCUGAUUUAAGUUAAUGUUCCUAACGAUAUACUGCUGCAUCGUCAUGCAUAUAUCCUCCUGCAGUCUUAAAACAAGCUAUUAAUAUACAAAAUCCUAUUUGCUUGAGCUUUUCACAACACAAAACGCUAAAAAGACUAUAAAGAGUUUCCAGUCUGUCUGUAAACCAUGUGAUUUCUAUUCUAAAUUCUGGGUGAAAUGGAUGCAAAGAUUUCUUAGACAGACUGAUGUACUAGAGAGCCACUUCCAUUUCCUUUCCUCGCCAUCCUCAAGCCAUCUGAUGCAGAAGAAAUGCCAAAUGGAGGCUGAUAAAAAGCAGGCCGAGGAGAAGACGCUGGUGCGUUGUCAAUAUGUUCGGGAUGAUCAAACUUACAGGCAGGUCCAUACUUGCAAAUCCCGUAACGGCUAUAGAAUGAACAGACAGCUUGGCCUGGUCUUAGUGGCAGGCCUUUGUCAUUGAGAACACUCGGAGGGUUUGUCAAUGAUUUUUGAGUCUUCGGAUGAUGAAAUUUGCAGUAAGACUUAUAUUUACAAUCUCCUGUUUUAAUGAAGUAACUGCAAUCAGGCUGACCUGGACGUUCAGGGUAUUCUUCAACAAGCCACGGUGGUUGAGGUCGGGAAUAGAUGUUUGUCUUAGUUGCUGGAUCCUUCACAGUAAAAGCUGGAGGAGUAGGUAGGCUCUUCUCUGAGGUUGGAUAGACCGGAGCCUGAAACCUGUUCCAUUCUGGACUCAGAGGAAGAAUGCCUUGGUUUGCUGAAUAUACCACUGGUACAAAAGGAGAUGUCUCAUUCGAUGCUCGUGGUGAAGACCAAGAAGACACUGGUGAAUAGGAGGCACUUUGUACUGGAGCAGAUCCACCAUUGUUGUAUCCAAGGGAAGGAUUGUUUCCAGUCACUGUACUAGGAUCAGGAUGAUGAAACCUGCAACUGGAUCCAUACUUGCAGGACCCAGUGCGCAUGUAGAAAGGGCAAUCCUUCUCUCCCUGUCGAAUUGGCAGGCCAAGAAAGUUAAAAUCCAGAACAGGUGAGAUUGCACCCUUCCCCUUACUAUGACUAUAUUUACAGGCAUUUCCAUACUUGCACCCUCCUUCUGUUAGGUAAUACUUGCAUUCAAUCAGCCCUGCUCUUUCCUCGCUUUCAUCCUUUUGCUUGCCCUUCUCCAUUGCCCACUGCUGAUUUUGUCUUCGAGAAGGGUGAUUAAACUUGCAAUUCAAUCCAUAUUGACAUGUCCCUGUUUUCAUAUAAUAAGCACAAUCCACAGCAUCAGGCCUUAACGGGUAACUCAACCUCCUCCCAUUCGCAUUAAAUCCCCAUUCUUUUGAACCCGCCAUACUACCGCUCUCAUUUACCACAUCAAUUUCAUUUCCGGUCCAACUAAGGUCACCAUCUUCAUAGUCAUCAAAUCCCCAUUCCUUUGAACCCGCGUCACCAGCCUUCUCAUUUUCCACAUCAACCACAAUUCCACUUUCGCUCCAACUAUAGUCACCAUCUUCAUCGUUAUCAAAACCCCAUUCUCUUGAAAUCACCUCACCACCUUUCUCGUUUUUCACAUCAAUCACAUUUACGUUUUCGCUCCAACCAG